rnacentral:rRNA from 1 species
UACAGAGGGGGCUAGCGUUAUUCGGAAUUAUUGGGCGUAAAGGGCGCGUAGGCGGCCAUGCGUGUCUUCCGUGAAAUCCCUCGGCUUAACUGAGGACGUGCGGAAGAAACUGCAAGGCUCGAGUCCGGGAGAGGGGGGGUGGAAUUCCCAGUGUAGCGGUGAAAUGCGUAGAUAUUGGGAGGAACACCGGUGGCCGAAGGCGGCCCCCUGGACCGGUACUGACGCUGAG